rnacentral:sRNA from 1 species
AUAUCUCUCUGUACGGGAAGGAUGAGAAGCUUCGACUAAGGUUCGAUUCGAGCGAAAGCGAGAAAGCGUUGCCAA